GCCGGGCCUGGUGGCGCAUGCCUGUAAUCCCAUCUACUCGGGAGGCUGAGGCAGGAGAAUUGCUUGAACCUGGGAGGCGGAGGUUGCAGUGAGCCGAGGUUGCGCCAUUGCACUCUAGUCUGGGCAACAAGAGUGAAACUCUGUCAAGAAAGAAAGAAAGAAAGAAAGAAAGAAAGAAAGAAAGAAAGAAAGAAAGAAAGAAAGAAAGAAAGAAAGAAAGACGGAGUCUCGCUCUGUCGCCCAGGCUGGAGUGCAGUGGCGCAAUCUCGGCUCACUGCAAGCUCCGCCUCCCGGGUUCACGCCAUUCUCCUGCCUCAG
rnacentral:SRP_RNA from 1 species